rnacentral:piRNA from 1 species
ACAGUGCUCACCGCAAAAGCCUCC